rnacentral:rRNA from 1 species
UAGUCCACGCCGUAAACGAUGACAACUAGCCGUCGGGUCCCUUGAGGACUUGGUGGCGAAGCUAACGCGAUAAGUUGUCCGCCUGGGGAGUACGGCCGCAAGGUUAAAACUCAAAUGAAUUGACGGGGGCCCGCACAAGCGGUGGAGCAUGUUGUUUAAUUCGAUGCAACGCGAAGAACCUUACCACCCCUUGACAUCCUGCGAAUUUUCUAGAGAUAGAUUAGUGCCUUCGGGAACGCAGUGACAGGUGCUGCAUGGCUGUCGUCAGCUCGUGUCGUGAGAUGUUGGGUUAAGUCCCGUAACGAGCGCAACCCUUGUCCUUAUUUGCCAGCACAUUAUGGUGGGAACUCUAAGGAGACUGCCGGUGACAAACCGCGAGGAAGGUGGGGAUGACGUCAAAUCAUCACGGCCCUUACGUCCUGGGCCACACACGUGCUACAAUGGUAGGGACAGAGAGCAGCCACAACGCGAGUUGGAGCGAAUCUAUAAACCCUAUCACAGUUCGGAUC